GUCACAUACAUGGCGAGUCCACAACGUCUUGAAAUUGUUUCUGUAAGGUGCAGUGAAUGGGAAUGUUCUGUCGAUGAUCCUCACUCCUGUUAGGAACAUACCAACAGUGUCAUGAAGUGUCAUUCAGUAAAUAAUGACAAUUUUAAUGAGAAUUUGCUUUAAAAGUUGGAUGAAAGAUUUUAUGUUGUUUAUGGCAGUGUCUUAUGUCUUCUUUAAACUAAAGCUUCAUUGUAAUUCAGCCUGCUAGGGAUGUUUUCUGCCUUUUUCUCCCUCUGUAGGAUCUCACAAGAGGCUUCUUCAGGUUUCUCUGAUGUGUGUGUGGGGUUGGGAGGAGAAAAAGGCUCAGAGAUGUUGCUCUUACAGUUGCACCAUUUUGGGAUUGAAACAGGAAGUGUGCUCAGAGGAAACGUAAUGUCCCCCUUGCCCCCUUUUACUUUUUCUUGUGUUUCCUAUUCCUCCCUUUGUCCAUCCCUUCCCCACUCUGUGCCAUUCAGUGGGCCCUGAUUUUUCUUCUCCUUUCUGCUGCCAGAGAUCUGUUUCUCAUGAGUUUGUCUGAUGUGCAUGCAUUUUAUUGACCUUCAUUUACAUUCGGCUCACUUCCUGCGUAAAUAAAUCCAAGAUGAUGGGUGAUUUCUAAAACAACAGAGAAAAAGUUGUGGUCUGGCCGUUUCUGGAUCCCCUCCCUGUUUCCUGAGACGGGCCUGUAAUGCAGCAAAGCUGGUCUGAUUAACAGCCAAAACAAAGGUCAGACUGCUGGCUAACUCAGAUAUUGCCCGACUCCAGUUCUGUUAUUCUGCCCAGCGGACUAAUAGCUGUGGCUGAUGAGCAUUGUAGAAUGAGGCCUACAGUCGGUCUGACAUUACUUAUCAGGAGCUUUGCAUGAAAGCUCCCUGUGUUCAUAUAGAUCUUGAUUCGAUUCACCCCUGGAAAUGAGAAAAGCAUCAAUGAAGGAAAGGCUUUCCCCCCCUUAACCUCUCCACUGACAAAAUAAAUAAACAGCCUGUCGGCAAAAGGCAGUUUAUUUCACCACAGAGCACAAAGGAAAUGCAUCAGAACAAAAAAACAAUAUAUAGAAACAUAAACAUUGAAUGAAUCUCGUGAUUUUUCUUAGUUUUUCUUGCCUUUUUAAAAUUAUGUUUUACUUCAUUUUGACGUUUUCCUCCUGAACAUCCAGUGCAAUGGCACUCACUAAGGAAAAAUCAGAACAAGUGUGAGAGAAGGAGGGUUAGUUAAUUUUAUACCAGUUACAGUCAUACCUGAAAAUCAAAAAUCCCAGCAAUCCACAAGAUGGAUCAUCUUUCAGAUAAAUGUCCACUGUAUGCCAGGUCUUCAGCAAACACCUCUAGUAAUCUACUGUAAGAGGCUGAACCAAUAAUCGCUCCUCUGAAAGUGCCUAAGAUCUGAACUGAGAAUGAUACUGGAGCUACUAUAUAAAGCAUGGUACUGUUAGCCCCCGGCAGGCAUUGGUACCUCUCAGCACAUCAGCACAUUUAUCCAUUGAACGUCAGUUGAUGUGUAUUUUGUGUACAACAAAGACCACAAUGGAAGUAUUUUGCUGCCAUCUAGCUGUCAAAGUCUUUGUCUAAUUAUGGCUGAUUUAGCUAAUUUACAUUCUUGUAUUUAUUUUAUGCACUGUUUUCAUUCUCAAUUAAUCAUCUCCUUUACAAAAACAGAUUGAUUUUGUUUUAUUUAAAUUAAAUGUAAUAAAUGUCAUAUGAUAAAUGGGUUUGAUUCACUGUAAACAUUCUAUGUUUUCAGGCCUACACAUUAAUAUUAUUAUAAUUAAUGUAGAAUUGGACUCAAAGACAUAUCUACAUAAAAAGUUUCAUAGUCAAAGGAGAACUGCUGAGUGCUUUAAAAAAUUACAACAUUUGGCCCCUUGGAAGGAAAAUGUAAAAAAAUUGGAAGAUAAGAGUAAAUUUCUGACUGACACAGUGUCAGUCAGAAACAGUGUAUUAAAGGGAAAAAAAAUAUGCUCACUUUGAAAACCAACUAACACAGUAUUAGAAUUAAGGCGUGUGUGGUGCAGUGAGUGACGAGUUUUUCCACCUCUUGGCUAAGCAGAGGAAACACAGAGUGAGAAAAGCAGCCGGCCGGUGUCUUCGUUUCUGCCAUACCAAAAUACGACAGUCAUGUCAAAAAAUAAAAAAAAUUUCUCCACUUUAAUUUACGAAGGCAUACAGUAGUUGAGUGUCUCUGGCCAACCUGACAAACAGUAACACAUUUAUUUAUAUUUUGGUCUUGAGUGCAUUCUUCACAACCUGAACCUGAAUUUUUAUGCAUUUUUGAUGUCACCCUCCUCAUGAUUGAUGCAACUAAACAUGCAGAAGAUUUAAUAAUUUAUUUGAAUUACUGCUGACAUAUAAUGAAGAGCAUCACGCCUUCAGUUGUUCAAAGCAUUUUGGAUGAGAACUUUUUUUCCAUCCCAUCAAAUUUGACAAGAGUUAUCAGGGAUACUUAUUUACAUCUGCAGGCUGUGUUGUACUGGUGGAAAUUACUUUGUUACUUUUAGAUUUUCCAUUGUUGCAUGAACCAGCUUGCUGGAAUUUGAGUGUUUUUCUUCAAUAAAGCAAACAUCAAACAUUCAAUUAGUUUAAUCAGACUGCUUUAGUGCAGCACAUGUUUCCUCUGUUCCAUCCUAAAAUAUAUGAAUGCACAGUGCUUUAAAAUGUUGCAAGCAAGGGCCUCUAAUAUUUAAAUAGCUAAAAUAAUUUAUUUAUAAAAUGGUAGCAUUCAGCUUAAAUCUGUGGAGCUUUUUUACUAGGAAUUUAUGCAGUUUUUUGUUUGAUUUUCUAUGAAUGACCUCACUAGUAAAAUGUCAGUAUUUAAAAUUGCUAUCUAAUUUUCUUGAGCUAUUGGUCUGUGCCAUUUUGAGCAUAAGGAGAAGAAAAUAUUCCAAAAAAUAAAUACAGUGCCCUCUACUUUUAUUGGUACCAUUGGUAAAGAUGUAUAAAAUGCAUGAAAAGAGAUUAAUCAUGCUGAAGUUGCAUCAUUUAUUUAUAAAUCUUCCUCAUACAUUUGAGUUAGCUGUUGAGUUGAGUUGGGUGUGUGGUGCUGGGGCCAGUUCUCUUGUCUGUAAAGAUACGCCUCUUCUUGGUAAAAUUAUUGGGCAUCAUGGGAUCCAAUUCAAUUGUUUUGCUGACGAUAUGCUGAUGUAUUCAAUCAAGAAAGUCACUUGAAGACAAAAAAGUCUGGUUGAUCUAAUUUUCUGCUUUUGAAUAGAGUCAUUCCCAA